GACGAACCGUGCGAACGUUGUUCGGAAUCACUGGGCUUAAAGGGCGCGUAGGCGGGUGUGCAAGUCUGUGGUGAAAGCCUCCAGCUUAACUGGAGAAGUGCCAUGGAUACUGCACAUCUUGAGGAGGGUAGGGGCAUCUGGAACGGUCGGUGGAGCGGUGAAAUGCGUUGAUAUCGACCGGAACUCCGGUGGCGAAGGCGGGAUCCUGGGCCAGUACUGACGCUGAGGAGCGAAAGCGUGGGGAGCAAACAGG
rnacentral:rRNA from 1 species